CCUACGGGGGGCUGCAGUGGGGAAUAUUGCACAAUGGGCGAAAGCCUGAUGCAGCGACGCCGCGUGAGCGAAGAAGGCCUUCGGGUCGUAAAGCUCUGUCCUAUGGGAAGAAAGAUGACGGUACCAUAGGAGGAAGCCCCAGCUAACUACGUGCCAGCAGCCGCGGUAAUACGUAGGGGGCGAGCGUUGUCCGGAAUGACUGGGCGUAAAGGGUACGUAGGCGGUUAGCUAAGUCAGUUGUGAAAGGCAUAGGUUUAACCAUUGUAAGUAUUGGAAAAUGUCUAGCUUGAGUCAAGGAGAGGUAAGUGGAAUUCCUGGUGUAGGGGUGAAAUGCGUAGAUAUCAGGAGGAAUAAAAGUGGCAAAGGCGACUUUCUGGACUUAGACGGACGCUGAGGUAAGAAAGCGUGGGGAGCAAACAGGAUUAGAUACCCUAGUAGUC
rnacentral:rRNA from 1 species